rnacentral:tRNA from 1 species
GCCGAGGUGGCGGAAUUGGCAGACGCGCUAGGUUGAGGGCCUAGUUCCCUUUUUUGGGAGUGAGGGUUCAAAUCCCUCCCUCGGCA